UUGUACACACCGCCCGUCACCAUGGGAGUGGGUUGCAAAAGAAGUAGGUAGCUUAACUUGGGAGGGCGCUUACCACUUGUGAUUCAUGACUGGGGUGAAGUCGUAAACAAAGGGUAACCGUAGGGAACUGCGGUUGGAUCACCUCUUACCUUAAG
rnacentral:rRNA from 1 species